GAAGGAAAGGAAGAUUACAGAAGAGAAAGAUAAAAGCACAGAGGGAAAAGUGAGUAAAGUACUGAGGACACUCUGCCCGUGAACGAUAAAGUAAUGGAGUCACCAAUGAUUUCAGGUAAAAGCAGCUGUGAAAGUCAUUGUUAGGGACCAGUUGGAAUGAAAACAGGACUCCUUGGAUGUGGAGCAAUUAUGACUGUGGGUAUGAGAUUGCUGACAGGGAACAAGGAAGAUGGAGACACGAGCCACUCAAACAGCCUCUGGAAGGCCCCAUUGCAGCCAGCAUGUGAAAACCACCUUCACCAUCUCCCUUUGGGUUUUCAAGUGUAUAGCAGACAAGGUCAUGCUUGUGUGUGGGUAUGCUUUGGACACAGCUGAGCUGUCAAGCAGGGGCCACAGUCCUUUCAUCUCCUAAACACAAGAGAACACAAUUCAAGUAAAAUGUGUGUGCUUUGGAAGUUCAGAAAAGCAGAAGCCACCUUGUGCUAGAGGUUUCCUACAAAACUCGGGACUUGAAGUGACCCUGAAAGAAUGUAAAAAGAAAACUAGAGACCAUUGGUUGGCCGAAUUCUCCAUGUGCCUGUGUCAUGUGAUGAAAAUUCAGUCCCUUUGUACAUAUGCAUAUAGGGGUUUUUCUGAACCUUCCUGCAGACUUUCAGAGAAUUGAGUCCUUACUCAUAGCAACGGUGGUGUAAUGUGAAAUCUGGGCCUCGGGCUUCCAAGAUUUCCUUUAGGGAUUAUUCUUCUAUAUGGUAGCUCUGUGUGGAAUAUUUCCACAGGAGUCCCUGAUGGACCUUACUCUCUGAGAUCAAAUGCUGUGUGUUAUCACUUACAUCCAACAGAGACUGCUGUUAAAUGAGCAUCCUGAUGUACGAGGAACUAUCCCUUAAAGAACCAGUAAAGCAACCAUGCAGAAAUAAACAAGUUCAUGACA